rnacentral:lncRNA from 1 species
CAAGAAGUCCCUCACCAGAUGCCAACCUCUCGAUCUUGAAUUUCCCAGCCUCCAAAACGGUCAGCUUUUACUGGAUAUUUUUGAGGAAGCACUGUGUAUAGACUACUGGGAGAUCGAAAGUGAUGAGUCUGACCCUUUGGGAUACAACGCUCCAGUAAACCGAGGGAUAACCAUGGAAGAGCAAGCAGCUGUAGAGGAAGGAAACAAUGAAGCACCUAAGUCAGGAUUUCAUGGAUUUUCAGCAAUGUAGACAGAACAGAUGAAAGCACUACUGGAGUAAUCAGAAUGAGAACGGUGAUUGAAGAGUGAGAUGUGGCCUAAAACCAUAUCCAUGUCA